GACAUAAAGAGUGGAGUCACUGAGAUCGAGUCAGUUAAGCCUGUCUCUAAGACACAGUGGAGAUGGAUUUCUCACUUCUGUUUUUAGUGACCUUCUUUGUGUUGUUUGAAGGGUCCUGUGGAGAUAUCAUCAUGACUCAGUCUCCCUCAAGUCUCUCUGCACGGCCAGGAGAAACUGUCAGCUUAAAUUGUAAAACCAGCAGUACAAUUUUGUAUAACAGUAAAAACUACCUGGCCUGGUAUCAACAGAAAUCAGGAGAAGCUCCAAAACUGCUGAUUUAUUAUGCUAGCACUCUGCAGUCUGGGAUCUCAAGUCGCUUCAGUGGCAGUGGCUCUGGACUUGAUUACACGCUGACCAUCAGUAACGUGCAGCCUGAAGAUGGAGGAUACUACUACUGUCAGCAGGGCUACAGCACUCCUUUCACACAGUGACACAGAGCCGUACAAAAACUCACUUGACUUGUCUGUGCAGCUGCUGUCCUUAAUUUUGCUGGUGCUGAGAGAAACUGUAAGUGACGGGGUUGGCAGACAAAGGAGAAAGAAACAAAAUAAGAAACAGAGAACAGAAAGAGAGUCUUCUGAUCACAACAUAUUACAGAAAGGGCAACAUGUGAGAAAAUGACCCAAUCCAGAAAACCUUUAGGAUAAAGAAAUAAUAUUCUGAAAUAUUUAUAUAUUACUAGCUGUGUUAGUUGUCUUUGCCUGGAAAAUUUCAUAAGGUAAUGGAACUUAGUUAUAUUGUAGUUGGUUAUUUGAAAGUAUUGCAAGUACUUUGUAAAUACUUUAAAAUGUGUACAGUACUUAUAGUUUGUUUUUUGUUUUAAUAAAAAACUAAUAUUACUAGCAGGAAGUGUGACAUAGUGGUCAAGGCUUCAGACUUCUAACCUUGUGGUUCAAAUCCUGGUACUGACACUGUGUGACGAUGAGCCGGUCACUGCACCUUUAUGUCUUCUAAUUUGGAAAAAGAAAUUAAAUCAACUGUAUCUCGAAUGUUAUCAGUUAUCUUUAAUAAAAACACCAUAGAAAUAAUUAAUAAUUAUAUUAUCUGUUCACUGGAGCAGCGUACUCUUAAACAUCCAUCUAUCCAUUAUCCAACCUGCUAUAUCCUAACUACAGGGUCACGAGGGUCUGCUGA